UUUCCGUAGGUGAACCUGCGGAAGGAUCAUUAAAAAUUGGACUCCAUUGGUGAGUUCAUUAAUAAUCCCUACCCUUUGUGAAUUUGUUUGUUUGAAUAAUUUUUUUCCAAAAAAAAUUAUUGAAUGUCUUUCCUUGUUUUGGUGGAGCUUGUAAAGUGAAACCAGGCAGGGGAAUGGCAAACAAUAAUUAUUUUUGAAAAAGACCUUUUUUUAAAAUUAAACUUUUUGUAUUCAUUUGUCUAAAAUUAAUUUUUAUAAUAUAAAAACAACUUUUGACAAUGGAUCUCUUGGUUCUCGCAACGAUGAAGAACGCAGCAAAAUGCGAUAAGUAGUGUGAAUUGCAGAAUACGUGAAUCAUCGAAUCUUCGAACGCAUAUUGCACUUUUUUAGUUUACUAAAAAAGUAUGUCUGUUUGAGUAUCAGUAAAAUAUUCUCAUAAAAAACGUUGUUUUUUUUAUGGUUAUGAGUGUUUUACAACGAUAACAAGUUGUUUCACUUUAAAUUCUUUGUUAUCAAAAAAAUCAUUAAAAGCUAAUUUUAAAGAUUUUUUAAAAUUGGAUAAAAUUUUCCCGUAAAAAGGAAUAACCUAAACAAUUUUAAAAAAUUAAAAUUGGUUUGAUUUUUUUGAAACCCAAAGGAAAAAAAAACGAAAUUAACUUGAUCUCAAAUCAGAUAAGAGUACCCGCUGAACUUAAGCAUAUCAAUAAGCGGAGGAAAAAAACUAACUAGGAUUCCCUCAGUAACGGCGAGUGAAGCGGGAAGAGCUCAAAUUUGAAAUCUUCAAGGUUUUACCUUGACGAAUUGUAGUUUAAAGAAGUGUUUUCUGUUGGAGUUUUGGUAAAAGUUCUUUGGAAAAGGACAUCAUAGAGGGUGAGAAUCCCGUAUUUGACCAUUAUCUCCAGCUUUGUGAUACACUUUCAAAGAGUCGGAUUGCUUGGGAAUGCAGUCCAAAAUGGGUGGUAAAUUUCAUCUAAAGCUAAAUACUGGCGAAAGACCGAUAGCGAACAAGUACCGUGAGGGAAAGAUGAAAAGAACUUUGAAAAGAGAGUUAAACAGUACGUGAAAUUGUCAAAAGGGAAGCGUUUGACACCAGUGUUGUUUUCUCGAAAAUCAAUUAAAAAAGGCCGGAUUUUGUGUUGUAUUGACUUUAUCAGCUUUCUGCACUCUUUUCUUGUCUUUUUUAAUGCACUUUUCGUUUAACAAGUCAACAUCAAUUUCUUUUGCUGUAAAAGGGUCAUUGGAAGGUGGCUUUCUUUUCGGAGAAAGUGUUUAUAGCCUUUGGCCUCUGCAAUCGGAGAGAUUGAGGUCUGCAGCGUAGAUCCUUCGGGGUUAGAUACAUUUGUGCUAAGUUAUAGCCUUUCAUAGACAACUUGUUGACUAUGAUCAGUCAUGUAGCUUACUCGCUUAUGCUAUUU
rnacentral:misc_RNA from 1 species